rnacentral:lncRNA from 1 species
UGAUUCAUCUGAAUUAAUUUUCCUUAAAGUGAUUUAUGCCCCAUUCCCCACUCUCCUAUUGUGUUCACAAGAAUUCUUUUUUUUUUUUUUUUAAAGCCACAAGGCAUGUGGGAUCUUAGUUCUUCAACCAAGGGAUCGAACCUUCCUCCCCUACAUUGGAAGCAUGGAGUCUUAACCAUUGGACCACCAGGAAAGUCCCAAUAUGAACUUCUAAAUUACCAUGGAAAGGUUCCUGCAGAAGCCUGCUGUGCAUCGGGAGGCUCGGCUGUUUCCUGCGACCCCUCCGUCAGAUGCAUCACUCCUCUCCGGGGGCUGGAGUCACUGCAAAGAGUCAGCAGUCUGAGCUCAGACACUUGAUCUGGAGCCCAGCUGUCAGCCCUGUCCUCGUCGCUGUCCCUGGCUCUGUCCUCUGGGAAACUUUUUGAGCUGAUCGAACUGCAGCAUCUGGAAAACUCCACAGCAAUGUUAAGUCCUGUAUACAUCUUCCAAGAGUUCUUUUUUUUUUUCUCUUGGAUUUUUUUUUUUUUUUAAUGGAAGAGAGUCACACACCAACAGUGGUUUCUGAAGCCCCUUCUCUAGUCCAGAGUCCAGGUCAUGGAUGCGCUGGGCAACCCUGAUGGACACUUUGGUCUCUCCAGGCCUCUUUUUCCUCAUCUGUAAAAUUGAGAAAAUAACCCCUCUGAAGGGUGACCUUCACUGUGGUCAAGGUCAGUAUGGGUCUAGGAGAGGGGAGAAAGUGAAAGUGAAGUCGCUCAGUGGUGUCCGACUCUUUGCGACCCCAUGGACUGUAGCCUACCAGGCUCCUCUGUCCAUGGGAUUUUCCAGGCAAUAGUACUGGAGUGGAUUGCCAUUUCCUUUUCCAGGGGAUCUUCCCAACCCAGGGAUCAAACCCGGGUCUCCCGCAUUAUAGACAGACGCUUAACCGUCUGAGCCACACUGAUAUCUCACAGUCUAUCCGCUGGUCCAGCCACACAGUUGCUAGCCAGGGGUCCCAGUCAGUGAGGAAGAAUGGAGAUAAUUGGGCAGGUAGGGUUCUUGGAAGCUCCGAAUUUGCUUUAUGGUUUGUGAUGUUCUUGCAUGAUUUGCAUUGGGCCAGGCCUGGUAAGGCUGGAUGGAGGGAAUAAAAAUAAUCAACAUCGCA